rnacentral:rRNA from 1 species
CGGUUGAUCCUGCCGGACCUGACUGCUAUCGGAUUGAUACUAAGCCAUGCGAGUCAUUGUAGCAAUACAAGGCAGACGGCUCAGUAACGCGUAGUCAAUCUACCCUAUGGACGGGAAUAACCUCGGGAAACUGAGAAUAAUGCCCGAUAGAACAUUAUGCCUGGAAUGGUUUAUGUUUCAAAUGAUUUAUCGCCAUAGGAUGGGACUGCGGCCUAUCAGUUUGUUGGUGAGGUAAUGGCCCACCAAGACUAUUACAGGUACGGGCUCUGAGAGGAGUGGCCCGGAGAUGGGUACUGAGACACGGACCCAGGCCCUAUGGGGCGCAGCAGGCGAGAAAACUUUGCAAUGUGCGAAAGCACGACAAGGUUAAUCCGAGUGGUUUCUGCUAAAGAAACCUUUUGUCAGUCCUAGAAACACUAACGAAUAAGGGGUGGGCAAGUUCUGGUGUCGGCCGCCGCGGUAAAACCAGCACCUCAAGUGGUCAGGAUGAUUAUUGGGCCUAAAGCAUCCGUAGCCCGUUUUGUAAGUUUUCGGUUAAAUCCAUGCGCUUAACGUAUGGGCUGCCGGGAAUACUGCAUAACUAGGAAGUGGGAGAGGUAGACGGUACUCGGUAGGAAGGGGUAAAAUCCUUUGAUCUAUUGAUGACCACCUGUGGCGAAGGCGGUCUACCAGAACACGUUCGACGGUGAGGGAUGAAAGCUGGGGGAGCAAACCGGAUUAGAUACCCGGGUAGUCCCAGCUGUAAACUAUGCAAACUCAGUGAUGCAUUGGCUUG